rnacentral:rRNA from 1 species
UACGUAGGGUGCAAGCGUUGUCCGGAAUUCUUGGGCGUAAAGAGCUCGUAGGCGGUCUGUCGCGUCUGCUGUGAAAAUCCAGGGCUCAACCCUGGACCUGCAGUGGGUACGGGCAGACUAGAGUGCGGUAGGGGAGAUCGGAAUUCCUGGUGUAGCGGUGAAAUGCGCAGAUAUCAGGAGGAACACCGGUGGCGAAGGCGGAUCUCUGGGCCGUAACUGACGCUGAGGAGCGAAAGCAUGGGGAGCGAACAGG